GAGUUUGAUCCUGGCUCAGAAUGAACGCUGGCGGCGUGCUUAACACAUGCAAGUCGAACGAGAAAGCCUGGGGUAACUUGGGCGAGUAAAGUGGCGCACGGGUGAGUAACGCGUAGGUAACCUACCCCCGGGACUGGGAUAACAGAGCGAAAGUUCUGCUAAUACCGGAUACGACCUUGAGGCGGGAGCUUUGAGGUGAAAGUCGGCCUCUCGAAGAAGCUGAUGUUCGGGGAUGGACCUGCGUCCUAUCAGCUAGUUGGUAGGGUAACGGCCUACCAAGGCGACGGCGGGUAGCUGGUCUGAGAGGAUGAUUAGCCACACUGGCACUGGAACACGGGCCAGACUCCUACGGGAGGCAGCAGUGAGGAAUUUUGCGCAAUGGGAGCAAUCCUGACGCAGCAACGCCGCGUGGGUGAAGAAGGCCUUCGGGUCGUAAAGCCCUGUCAGGUGGGAAGAAACGCUUGAAUUCGAAUAGGGUUUGAGCUUGACGGUACCACCAGAGGAAGCACCGGCUGACUCCGUGCCAGCAGCCGCGGUAAUACGGAGGGUGCGAGCGUUAUUCGGAAUUACUGGGCGUAAAGCGCGUGCAGGCG
rnacentral:rRNA from 1 species